ACCUUUUCAUCCAGUGAGGACACAGGGAGAAGAUGGUCAUUAGCGACCAGGAAGAGGGUCCCCCCACCAGAACCCCAUGCUGGCACCUGAUCUCGACUUCCGGCCUCCAGAAAUCUUUGAGAAGCAGAUAGGCUUGAAUGAGCAUGGAAUGUAUCUAUUUAAAAAGCAGCUGGAAGUCUGUCAAGUGCAUUCUGGAAAUGGAUUCAGGCUAACAGAGUGUUCUGAAUAGAGACGCCUAAAACAAGAGCCAAAGACAUAGCAAUGGAGAACGUGGGUGGUACAGCCCUCCACCCUGGCGAGCAGCACAUUAGAAUCACGUAGGAGCUUAAAAAGUACUGACUGGCCUGGUCUUUUUCGGUGUGAAGGUGGGAUGCAGGCUUCCUGGGGUUAUCCUCUCGUACAGCCAGAGUUGAGAACCAUCUGAGUAGCGCUUGUCACACUUCUGGCCACAUCAGAAUCGUCUGAGGGACUUGUUCACUGCAGGUUGCUGGGUCCCAUCUCUAGCCUCUGAUCCAGUAGCCUGGGGUGGGGCACAGGAUGUCCUGCUGCUGGGGUCUGGGCAGCGCUAUGAGAACUGCUGACGUUGGAGCUCGAUCAGGUGGUCCCUCACUCCCUGACCCAGGGCAUUUGCUGCUUCCUGUCUCUGCCAUUCUUUUCUCAACCUGGGGCACUUGCUUUUCUCGCUAUGCUGCCCUGCCCUUUGCUGAGGCCUGGGCUAUCCCUGGCAGGGUGCAGAAAAAAAAUUUUUAAGUUACUUUUCUCAGCCCAAAGGAGACUGGAAUGCUUCACAAGGGAUUCUACUUGACAGGCAAUUGGACCACCCAAAUGGCAAACUAAAAGCAUAGAAGCGGACACCAGAGGCUCCUGGACCUGAGAUGUGGCCCUGGAAGUGACCAGAUGUGGUCUCAAGAGAUGGGGGCCCAGGGCUAGGAAUGCCGCCAUCCGGGGAGGCCCUAGAGCAGAGCAGAGCAGCUGUGGGCUGGUGCCAAGCUCACUCCUGCUUCUCUCUGCACGUCUCCCUCAUUCUUUUCUCUCUGAACUGUGACCCUUUUGGCCCCUCUGAGUACCAGGUGGGACAAGGUGACCCCUCAGCACUUGAGUUUACACCUUAGAUGUGUAGGUCCUCACAGAGGCCAACUUAUCUCCUUCUGGGACCAAAUUCCAAAUUCCUAAAGAAAAAACAAACCAAAAACGGAUAUGAUAAACCUAUCUCAGUGGUCAGCCCCUGGGGCGCAAACAUUCCCCUGAGUCAGGGAAGGGUGACUGUAACACAGGUAUCAUUAUGAUUUAGGUGUGGCAAGACUAGCAGGUCAGGGGUGCCUGCCAUUGAAAAGACUGUCAUACAGUUCCCAGGUGGAAGGGGUGUGCCAGGAGGGGCAGCCAGAAGGCAGAUGGAGGGAAGCUGCCUUUAUGGUGUUUCUGCUGGGAGGCACAGGUGCGGUGGAGGAAGCAGGCUUAGGAUUGGUUCGUGUGAAUGUCUUCAGUGGGCUCUGGUUAUCUGGUACCUGGCCCGGGGUGAUGAGGGUAGAUAGAGGCCCAGAAGGUGAGAGCCUAAUACCCAGAGCGGUCGGGGGGGUGGGUAGGCUCAGGGCUGGUUGGUUUGGGAAGCAUGUUUGUGGGCCCGUUGGUUACCGUCUCAAGGAAUGGGCUAGGCCUGGGUGUGGCUGUCCUUCUAGGAUCAGCAAGGCAGCAAAUAUCAAAGCACCAGAAUACACAAAGUAAAAGACUGCAUUAAUACAGGGUAGUUUACAAAGAAAUGGGAAAUUGUUGGUUCUGAGCUGGGUGGGGAUUGAAACGGUGUUCCCUGCAGAUCCAUUUAAAGUCUCUCUGUAAAUACGCGUUGGUGUGUAACUGUUCCUUGUCUCUAACCUCAGCCAGCCCCUCCCAUGCCAGGUGAGGGGUCUUCCCACCUCCCUUUUCCUCUCUGGGUGUCCCUCCAUUAUGAUCUGGGGACCAAGGCUGGCUGUAGCAGUGUGCCUCCAUGGCCUAGGGCGGUUGGCAAAUGCAAUUUCUUCGGCAGUGCUGGAUAAAGUGGGAUGAUGCAGUGACCACACAGAAUGUCAUUUCUGAUGAAAGCUGGCAUGCCAGCCCGUGACAGGACACAGAGGAGCGUGGAUUCCCCUUCAUGGUUGACUUCAGCCAAGGCCAUCAUCCCCGCUGCCAAAGCCUGCCCUGAUUGCCUGCCCUGGGGGAGAGAAGUGUUUUGAAGAUGACAAAUCAAAGUCAGGUCCUGCAUGGAGUUUGCGUGCCUGACAGCCUGGCUAGCACAGGAGGACAUGCAGGUGGAAUUUGUGCAAGCCUGUUAUUUUCUGUAACACAAUACACACUGAGAAGGCAAUGGGUACCUUGGACCCUGCAGGCCAAUUCAAGCACCAUCACUACUUUUCAGAAGUGUGGGGCAUAGAUGUCAACUGAGCCUAGCAAGAUGUCCUAUGUUACCAAGAGACUAUUAGAAAGCAGAGCAGGUCUCAAGAUUCAAUGAAACAAUUGCCUGGAAGCUGGAAGAUAAUAUGGAAGCUAGGGAUAUAAUAGAGUAUGUUGCUGGGAACGGUGGCUCCUGCCUGUAAUCGCAGCACUUUGGGAGGCUGAGGUAGGGGGGAUCACUUGAGCCCAGGAGUUGGAGGCCAGCCUGGGCAACACAGCAAGACCCCAUUUCUAUAAAUAAUUAAAAAAAAAAUUAGCUGGGUGUUGUGGUGCAUGCCUGUAUUCUUAACUACUCCAGAGGCUGAGGUGGGAGGAUGGCUUGAGUCCAGAAGUUCAAGGUUACAGUGAACUACGAUUGAGCCACACUGCAUUCCAGCUGGGUAACAGAGGGAGACUCUGUCUCUAAAAAAAAAAAUUAAAAAAAAAGUAGGGUGGGUGGUUGAGGGUUGUGCAGUGUGAGUGAGGGUGGCCAGAAAAACCAUUUCCGUGACAGUUACAAAGGCUGUGUGUGGAUGGUGACGCUGAG
rnacentral:lncRNA from 1 species